UGAGGGAUCCAAGUCAAACAAUAUUCUGUCACCUGCUCAAGAACUCUUCAUUCCCAGCCUCUGGAGUGUGGAGUAAUCCUGAGUAACUCUCAAGGUCAAGCCCCCAUCAGUCAGAAUGACAACUUAAAUUGUAAGAAGUACAGAACAUCCCAUUCAAGAUGUCUAAUGAGCAGUUGGAUAGAAGACACUGGAGGGCAGCAGAGAGGCUAGGGCUGGAUAAAUGCAUCUCAGAAUGAUCAACAUAGAGAUGAGUGAAUGUUUGGGAGCUGAUGAGAUCACCACCUGAAAUAGUAUGGAGAGUGAAGAGAAAAGAGCCUGGGCAGAGCUAUGUGGGAAAACUGGUUAAUGGUGCACUAACAAAAUUAUUUUCCUUAACUAAAAUCUCUACCCCCAAAUAAUAAACAACCUGCACUCUUA